rnacentral:rRNA from 1 species
AUUGAACGCUGGCGGCAUGCCUUACACAUGCAAGUCGAGCGGCAGCGCGGGGGCAACCCUGGCGGCGAGCGGCGGACGGGUGAGUAAUACAUCGGAACGUGUCCUUUCGUGGGGGAUAACCAGUCGAAAGACUGGCUAAUACCGCAUGAGAUCUCACGAUGAAAGCGAGGGAUCCGCAAGGACCUCGCGCGAUUGGAGCGGCCGAUGUCGGAUUAGCAGUUGGCGGGGUAAAAGCCCACCAAGGCUACGAUCCGUAGCUGGUUUGAGAGAACGACCAGCCACACUGGGACUGAGAC